rnacentral:rRNA from 1 species
AUGCAGGAGAAUAGAGCAAUUUUUAGGGGUUCCUCUAGUGCUACACAUCCACCUCCACAACCACCACAUCAACACCAAACUUCACAGAUGCCAGCCUUAUCCGCUCCACCUCCUAAAGCAAUGAGGAACAGAAAAACAACAACACAUAAGAGAGGUUCAGCAUCAAUAGUUUCAGCAGGAGCAGCCAGGUCUUCAUUAGCAUCAACAAGAGCUCCAAGAGGAUCAGCAUCAACAAGAACAUUCAAUGCACCAAGUGUUGGGGAACGUAGCAUAAAUUCAAAAUUUUCUACGCAUCACCAAGAUCAAUCUAUGGAGAUUCUAGCAACAAGAGAGAGAGAGGAUGAGCAUCUUCAUACCUUUGAAGAUCGCUAA